rnacentral:lncRNA from 10 species
AAUAUACUCACCACGUGUAAUCUCAUCCUACUAUAAAAUCAUAAGCUUGGAUGUUCCUCUUUAAUAAAAUUACCCAAAAGUGAAUAGUCUACCAACUACAUAGAUAAGAAAAACAAUGUAUACCUUUAUACAAACACUUAGAAGUGGUUCGUUUUUAAGAGGAAUUUGUAUUUAGAUUACUGAUUGUUCCAUAUAAAAAUGUUAGAAGAGAUAUAUAAACUGAAAUACUUAAAACAUAAUAAAUAUGAAAGCCUCAAAAAUUUCAUCAGUGCCUAGAGACUUAAAUACAUUGUUACUAUUCCACUAAAAUCUAAAAGAAUCUUUGAGAAUAGACAUUUAUAAGGUACAUUUGGUGAAACAUUUUACUCUUGGUAAAUUAGAACAAGUCUAAGAAUGACUCAUACUUUCGAUUUUUUUUUUUUUUUUUUUUUUUUUGAGACAGGUUCUGGCUCUGUCACCCAGGCUGGAGUUCAGUGGUGCGAACUUCGCUCACUGCAUCCUCGACCUCCUGGGCUCAAGUGAUGCUCCCACCUCAGCCUACCAAGUAGCUAGGACUACAGCUUGGGAAAGUUCCUAGACAUCAGGAAAUCAGCAUGUUCUCAAGCAAAUACACUUGAUAGACAUUCAUCUCAGCAGGAUAAAUAUCUACAGGAGAAAAUCAUGAAGCUACCAGAAUGUGGCCAAAGGGAAAAAUAUCCUAUGAUCAUUCCAGAUUUUUUGUGUUGGUUCUCCUCUCCUAUUCCCAUCCCAUCCCUGGAGAAAACAAUAAGGCAAAGUUUCCCGUUUUUUUUUUUUUUUUUUUUUGAGACAGGAUCUCCCUCCGCCACCUAGACUGGAGUGUAGUAAGCCUAUCUCCGCUCACUGCAGCCUCAAGCAGUCCUCCAACCUAAGCCUCCCAAGUAGCUGGGACUACAGAGACAUACCACUACGCUAAUUUUUUAGUUUUUGUUUGUUUGUUUGUUUUUGUAGAGACAGGGUCUCACUAUGUUGCCCAGGC